rnacentral:lncRNA from 1 species
GUUAUCCCAUAUUUUAGCUCAAGGUAAAAUAUGUUAUAAUCUCCAGGUCCAAGGACAUUUAUUGCUAUAAAAACCUGUCGAAAUAUCUUUAGAUAGCCUUAGCAUUUAAUGUCUUCAAGAGCAAGAGAAUCCUAAUGGAAAAGCUUCAUAGCUCGAGACUGAAAGAAUCUUUCGAUGGAGGUUAAUGAAUCGAAGUAGUCAAGAAUUAUGGACUUAGAGCAUUUUUAUCAUUUAAAGGUAAAUUCGACUUCGACGGUUACAACGGUUUACAGGCCUUGGUUCAUUUCAAAUGCAAAGGACGCGUGGCUGGAGCUUAGCAGUUUAACGUUAGGAUAGACGUUGCUUAGUUUUCUAUAAAUAGAAGUAUGUUUAGUCGAAAUAAUGGUCACAAUUCAUUUACACAAAAUCUCAAACACUCAAAGUAUCCAUGUUAAGGCGAGAAACGAGUUACUCGAGAAAGAUGUAUGAAUCGGUGAACCUUUACAUUUCCUUU